rnacentral:rRNA from 1 species
GAUGAACGCUGGCGGCGUGCCUAAUACAUGCAAGUCGAGCGAACAGAUGAGGAGCUUGCUCCUCUGACGUUAGCGGCGGACGGGUGAUUAACACGUGGAUAACCUACAUAUAAGACUGGGAUAACUACGGGAAAACGGAGCUAAUAUCGGAUAAUAUAUUGAACCGCAUGGUUCAAUAGUGAAAGACGGUUUUGCUGUCACUUAUAGAUGGUUCCGCGCCGCAUUAGCUAGUUGGUAGGGUAACGGCUUACCAAGGCGACGAUGCGUAGCCGACCUGAGAGGAUGAUCAGCCACACUGGAACUGAGACACGGUCCAGACUCCUACGGGAGGCAGCAGUAAGGAAUCUUCCGCAAUGGGCGAAAGCCUGACGGAGCAACGCCGCGUGAGUGAAGAAGGUCUUCGGAUCGUAAAACUCUGUUAUUAGGGAAGAACAAAUGUGGAAGUAACUAUGCACGUCUUGACGGUACCUAAACAGAAAGCAACGGCUAACUACGUG